UUACCAAAAACAGGUUAAGCCACACUAACUUUAUUUUUUCACCAUGUUGGCCAAGCUGGUCUCAAACUCCUGACUUCAAGUGAUCUGCCCGACUCAGCCUCCCAAAGUGCUGGGAUUACAGGCGUGAGCGACCGCACCCAGCUAACAUUAAUCCAUUUAUGAAGGUAGAGCCUAAUGAUUACAAAGAUAAAAAAUGGAAAAAAAUUAUAGAAAGAAAUGGUCAAUGGCCAUAAAAGGGAUAACCUUCUGUGGAAGAUGUAUACAAACCAUAACUUUGUUGAAAAAUAACAUUUACAUA
rnacentral:lncRNA from 1 species